AACGAACGCUGGCGGCAGGCCUAACACAUGCAAGUCGAACGCUCGUAGCAAUACGGGAGUGGCAGACGGGUGAGUAACACGUGGGAACCUUCCCUAUGGUUCGGAAUAGCUCAGGGAAACUUGGGGUAAUACCGGAUAAGCCCUUCGGGGAAAGGAUUUAUCGCCAUUGGAUGGCCGCGUCGGAUUAGCUAGUUGGUGAGGUAACGGCUCACCAAGGCAACGAUCCGUAGCUGGUUUGAGAGAAUGACCAGCCACACUGGGACUGAGACACGGCUCAGACUCCUACGGGAGGGCAGCAGUGGGGAAUCUUGCGCAAUGGGCGAAAGCCUGACGCAGCGACGCCG
rnacentral:rRNA from 1 species